rnacentral:rRNA from 1 species
GCUCAGGAUGAACGCUAGCUACAGGCUUAACACAUGCAAGUCGAGGGGUAGCAGGGUAGCAAUACCGCUGACGACCGGCGCACGGGUGAGUAACACGUAUCCAACCUUCCCAUAACUCGGGGAUAGCCUUUCGAAAGAAAGAUUAAUACCCGAUAGUACUUAAGAAAGGCAUCUUUUUUAAGUUAAAGAUUUAUUGGUUAUGGAUGGGGAUGCGUUCCAUUAGAUAGUUGGUGAGGUAACGGCUCACCAAGUCUUCGAUGGAUAGGGGUUCUGAGAGGAAGGUCCCCCACAUUGGUACUGAGACACGGACCAAACUCCUACGGGAGGCAGCAGUGAGGAAUAUUGGUCAAUGGGCGAGAGCCUGAACCAGCC